rnacentral:rRNA from 1 species
UUGAACGCUGGCGGCAUGCUUUACACAUGCAAGUCGAACGGCAGCGCGGGCUUCGGCCUGGCGGCGAGUGGCGAACGGGUGAGUAAUGCAUCGGAACGUGCCCAGUAGUGGGGGAUAGCCCGGCGAAAGCCGGAUUAAUACCGCAUACGACCUGAGGGUGAAAGCGGGGGACCGAAAGGCCUCGCGCUAUUGGAGCGGCCGAUGUCGGAUUAGCUAGUUGGUGGGGUAAAGGCUUACCAAGGCGACGAUCCGUAGCUGGUCUGAGAGGACGACCAGCCACACUGGGACUGAGACACGGCCCAGACUCCUACGGGAGGCAGCAGUGGGGAAUUUUGGACAAUGGGGGCAACCCUGAUCCAGCCAUGCCGCGUGCGGGAGGAAGGCCUUCGGGUUGUAAACCGCUUUUAUUCGGGAAGAAAUCCUCUGGGCUAAUACCCCGGGGGGAUGACGGUACCGGAAGAAUAAGCACCGGCUAACUACGUG